UGAAUUUUGAAUGGAUUGGCGUAAAGUAAGUGUUUAACCGCAUAGCAACGGAUAUGUCUAAUCUGUCAAAACCCGCGAUUCAGUCAAAACAUAGUUCCAAAUUUAGCUAAUAGAUGGAGUUUUUUAUUUGAGUCCGUUUUCUGAAUCGCGGUGUUAAGAUUCUCAGGCUUUAGUAUAAGUAUCCUGAGAAUCAAUUGGAAUGUUGGUAUCAGGUAUCAAAUCAAGUGACAGUACUAUAUCAUUAGGUUGGUAUAGUAAUUCGGAAUUAAAAAGAGAUUGGUAAUCACUA